rnacentral:rRNA from 1 species
GACGAACGCUGGCGGCGUGCUUAACACAUGCCAGUCGAACGGAAAGGCCUCUUUCGGGGGGUACUCGAGUGGCGAACGGGUGAGUAACACGUGAGUAACCUGCCCUUGACUUUGGGAUAACUUCAGGAAACUGGGGCUAAUACCGGAUAGGAGCUCCUGCUGCAUGGUGGGGGUUGGAAAGUUUCGGCGGUUGGGGAUGGACUCGCGGCUUAUCAGCUUGUUGGUGGGGUAGUGGCUUACCAAGGCUUUGACGGGUAGCCGGCCUGAGAGGGUGACCGGCCACAUUGGGACUGAGAGACGGCCCAGACUCCUACGGGAGGCAGCAGUGGGGAAUAUUGCACAAUGGGUGGAAGCCUGAUGCAGCAACGCCGUGUGCGGGAUGACGGCCUUCGGGUUGUAAACCGCUUUCGCUCAUGACGAAGCUUUGUGUGACGGUAGUGGGUAAAGAAGCACCGGCUAACUACGUG